GGUCCACAGCAGAAGAAUUCAGGUGACAGAUUGCAAACUUGCAAUUUCCUGCCUUGGUUCCCUCUACUCAUUCUACAACUACAGUCAACUACACACCAGGUAAGUAACAAGUGUUAAGUAUUUGGAAGGAUUUCUGCUUAUUUUUAAGAUGCCGAGAAGAAGCAAGAGAGCCCAGGCUGCGCGCGUCCGCUGGACCAAGUUGGACCUUGAUGACACCCAGACGAGCUCACUCCGGACCAGUGAAGAGGCUGCAGGAGACCAGUCAAGGAAGAUGGA